UACGAAGGGGGCUAGCGUUGUUCGGAAUUACUGGGCGUAAAGCGUGCGCAGGCGGUGAUGUAAGACAGUUGUGAAAUCCCCGGGCUCAACCUGGGAAUUGCAUCUGUGACUGCAUCGCUAGAGUACGGUAGAGGGGGAUGGAAUUCCGCGUGUAGCAGUGAAAUGCGUAGAUAUGCGGAGGAACACCGAUGGCGAAGGCAAUCCCCUGGACCUGUACUGACGCUCAUGCACGAAAGCGUGGGGAGCAAACAGG
rnacentral:rRNA from 1 species